rnacentral:rRNA from 1 species
AUCAUGGCCCUUACGAGUAGGGCUACACACGUGCUACAAUGGCAGAUACAAAGUGAAGCGAACUCGCGAGAGCAAGCGGACCACAUAAAGUCUGUCGUAGUCCGGAUUGGAGUCUGCAACUCGACUCCAUGAAGUCGGAAUCGCUAGUAAUCGUAGAUCAGAAUGCUACGGUGAAUACGUUCCCGGGCCUUGU